rnacentral:rRNA from 1 species
CCUACGGGAGGCAGCAGUGGGGAAUUUUCCGCAAUGGGCGAAAGCCUGACGGAGCAAUACCGCGUGAGGGAGGAAGGCUCUUGGGUUGUAAACCUCUUUUCUCAGGGAAGAUAAUGACGGUACCUGAGGAAUAAGCAUCGGCUAACUCCGUGCCAGCAGCCGCGGUAAUACGGAGGAUGCAAGCGUUAUCCGGAAUGAUUGGGCGUAAAGCGUCCGCAGGUGGUUUUGAAAGUCUGCUGUUAAAGCGUGCGGCUUAACCGCAUAAGGGCAGUGGAAACUAUGAGACUAGAGUGCGUUAGGGGCAGAGGGAAUUCCCAGUGUAGCGGUGAAAUGCGUAGAGAUUGGGAAGAACACCGGUGGCGAAGGCGCUCUGCUAUACCGUAACUGACACUGAGGGACGAAAGCUAGGGGAGCGAAUGGGAUUAGAUACCCCAGUAGUCCUAGCCGUAAACGAUGGAUACUAGGCGUUGUCUGUAUCGACCCGGACAGUGCCGUAGCUAACGCGUUAAGUAUCCCGCCUGGGGAGUACGCNGCGACGUGUGAACGACGAAGAAGUAGACGCGUGAGAGNGCGAGACGACGACGAGGAGAGG